GUGCCUGUUUUGGCAGCACAUAUACUAAAUUGGAACAGUAGAUUAUCAUGGCCCGUCUGCACAAGGAUGACAUACAAAUUUGUGAAGUGUUCCGGACUUAA
ensembl:snRNA U6 U6 spliceosomal RNA